UACGAAGGGGGCUAGCGUUGUUCGGAAUUACUGGGCGUAAAGCGUGCGCAGGCGGCUUUCCAAGUCAGUGGUGAAAGCCCGGAGCUCAACUCCAGAACUGCCUUUGAUACUGAGGAUCUUGAGUUCGGGAGAGGUGAGUGGAACUGCGAGUGUAGAGGUGAAAUUCGUAGAUAUUCGCAAGAACACCAGUGGCGAAGGCGGCUCACUGGCCCGAUACUGACGCUGAGGCACGAAAGCGUGGGGAGCAAACAGG
rnacentral:rRNA from 1 species